rnacentral:rRNA from 1 species
GUGGGGAAUUUUGGACAAUGGGCGCAAGCCUGAUCCAGCAAUGCCGCGUGCAGGAAGAAGGCCUUCGGGUUGUAAACUGCUUUUGUACGGAACGAAACGGCUCUGGUUAAUACCCGGGGCUAAUGACGGUACCGUAAGAAUAAGCACCGACUAACUACGUGCCAGCAGCCGCGGUAAUACGUAGGGUGCAAGCGUUAAUCGGAAUUACUGGGCGUAAAGCGUGCGCAGGCGGUUUUGUAAGACAGGCGUGAAAUCCCCGGGCUCAACCUGGGGAUGGCGCUUGUGACUGCAAAGCUCGAGUGCGGCAGAGGGGGAUGGAAUUCCGCGUGUAGCAGUGAAAUGCGUAGAUAUGCGGAGGAACACCGAUGGCGAAGGCAAUCCCCUGGGCCUGCACUGACGCUCAUGCACGAAAGCGUGGGGAGCAAACAGGAUUAGAAACCCUAGUAGUCC